rnacentral:rRNA from 1 species
UACAGAGGGUGCAAGCGUUGUUCGGAAUCAUUGGGCGUAAAGCGCACGUAGGCGGCCUACUAAGUCAGGUGUGAAAGCCCAGGGCUCAACCCUGGAAGUGCACUUGAAACUGGUGGGCUUGAAUGUCGGAGAGGGCAGUGGAAUUCCGAGUGUAGCGGUGAAAUGCGCAGAUAUCGGGAGGAACACCGGUGGCGAAGGCGGUUCUCUGGGCCUUACCUGACGCUGAGGAGCGAAAGCGUGGGGAGCGAACAGG